AUGUCCAUGGUUAUCUCCUCCGUUCUCCCAGCUCCUUGCUCUCUCCUCAUGGCAACCUUGAUGCUGCUCAUCGUCCAGGCGCAAAGCUUCACCAGGCACUACAAUUUCAAUGUGCAAAUGGCGAACGUGACGAGGCUGUGCGCCACCAAGAGCAUCGUGACGGUGAACGGGGAGUACCCCGGCCCGGCGCUCGUGGCGAGGGAAGGCGACCGCGUCGCCGUCCGCGUCACCAACCACGUCGCGCACAACAUGACGCUGCACUGGCACGGCGUCCGGCAGCUGCGGAACGGCUGGGCCGACGGGCCGGCGUACGUCACCCAGUGCCCGAUCCGGACGGGCCAGACCUACGUCUACAACUUCACCGUCCUCGGGCAGCGUGGCACGCUGUGGUGGCACGCGCACAUCUCCUGGCUACGCGCCACCGUCUAUGGCGCCAUUGUCAUCCUCCCCAAGCACGGCGUGCCUUACCCGUUCGCCGCGCCGCACAUGGAGGUUCCGGUCAUCUUCGGUGAAUGGUGGAAGGCGGACACGGAGGCGGUGGUCAGCCAGGCGCUCCAGACGGGCGGAUCCCCGAAUGUCUCCGACGCUUUUACAAUAAAUGGGCUCCCUGGGCCGCUCUACAACUGCUCUGCCCAAGACACAUUCAGACUGAAGGUGGAACCCGGGAAAACGUACAUGCUGCGCCUCAUCAAUGCCGCGCUCGAUGACGAACUCUUCUUCUCCGUCGCCAAUCACACGCUCACCAUCGUCGAGGUCGAUGCCGUUUAUGUCAAGCCCUUCACAGUCAAGACUCUGAUCAUCUCACCGGGCCAGACCACCAAUGUACUCCUCACCACCAAGCCCUUGUACCCCAAGGCCAACUUCUACAUGUUGGCCGCCUUCUACCUAGGGUACCAAAAUCCUAGGGACCCCCUAAGGCCUAGCACCAUCAACAACACCACCGUUGCCGGCAUUCUCGAGUACCAAAAUCCGGGUUCCCCCAUAGCGCCAACCUCUGACAAAGACUUGCCACUGUUCAAGCCAACGCUCCCGCGGUUCAACGACACCGGCUUCGUCGCCAACUUCGCCUCCAAGCUCCGCAGCCUUGCCACGCGGGUCGUGCCGCGGUCGGUUGACAAGAAGUUCUUCUUCACGGUCGGCAUGGGCACGUUCCCGUGCCCCAUGGACGCGACGUGCCAAGGGCCCGUUAACGGGACGCGGUUCGCGGCGGCCGUGAACAACGUCUCCUUCGUACUCCCUUCCAUGGCGCUCCUUCAGUCGCACUUCACCGGCAUGUCGCGGGGCGUCUACGGGUCCGACUUUCCGGCCAUGCCCCCGUUUCAGUUCAACUACACCGGGGCACCGCCGGACAACAUGAACGUCGGCAAGGGGACCAAGGUUGCGGUGCUGCCAUUCAACGCGUCGGUGGAGCUGGUGAUGCAGGACACGAGCAUCCUCGGCAUCAUCAGCCACCCCAUGCACCUGCACGGCUUCAACUUCUUUGUGGUCGGGCAAGGAUUCGGCAACUACGACCCCGUGAACGAUCCAGCCAAGUUCAACCUCAUCGACCCGGUAGAGAGGAACACCGUAGUGGUGCCGGCCGGAGGGUGGGUGGCCAUUCGCUUCCUCGCCGACAAUCCAGGUGUAUGGUUCAUGCAUUGCCAUUUGGAGGUGCACGCCUCAUGGGGAAUGAGAAUGGCGUGGCUGGUGCUAGACGGGAGCCUUCCCAACCACAAGUUGAUGCCCCCACCCACUGACCUCCCCGAAUGCUAG
rnacentral:rRNA from 1 species